rnacentral:tRNA from 1 species
GCCGCCAUCGUCUAGUGGUCAGGACACUAGGUUUUCAUCCUAGUAACCGGGGUUCAAUUCCCCGUGGCGGUA